GAUGAACGCUGGCGGCGUGCUUAACACAUGCAAGUCGAACGAAGCACUUAAGAUUGAUUCUUCGGAUGACGUCUUUUGUGACUUAGUGGCGGACGGGUGAGUAACGCGUGGGUAACCUGCCUCACACAGGGGGAUAACAGUUAGAAAUGACUGCUAAUACCGCAUAACCCGAUAGGAUCGCAUGAUCCAGACGGAAAAGAUUUAUCGGUGUGAGAUGGACCCGCGUCUGAUUAGCUAGUUGGUGAGGUAACGGCCCACCAAGGCGACGAUCAGUAGCCGGGCUGAGAGGGUGAACGGCCACAUUGGGACUGAGACACGGCCCAAACUCCUACGGGAGGCAGCAGUGGGGAAUAUUGCACAAUGGGGGAAACCCUGAUGCAGCGACGACGCGUGAGUGAAGAAGUAUUUCGGUAUGUAAAGCUCUAUCAGCAGGGAAGAAAAUGACGGUACCUGACUAAGAAGCCCCGGCUAACUACGUG
rnacentral:rRNA from 1 species